rnacentral:lncRNA from 1 species
AGCUGCUGGACCCCUCCAGCCCUGAGAGGUUGAUUCUAUAAAACAGGUUAUUGAUUCUAUAAAAACAGAUGUUGAAAUUCUGUAUGAGGUCCACACACGUCCCAGGACGUGAGCUAGUAAGAUAAUUCUAGAGUUGGAAAGACAGCCUGCUGAAGAGUUAACAAUAAUUACUGCCUUUCACCUAAAAUGUUGAAAGCAGCUUCUAGAGUUAAUGAGUUUGUCCCCAGGACACGGCUUACUCUCUGGGAUGAUCUGACUCGUCACGUGUGCACCAUCGUUAGUGAUAAUGCUCUGCACUCAAACAGCCCCGUUCAUCUGUGGAUCCCAAAGACUUUUGCAAGCAUCCAUUAGUUCUCACACAUAACUCUGAAUUCGCCUGCACACUUGUGAAGUGGUUGUAAACACUGUUACAACCCGGGCAAAGCCAGACCACUGUGACGGCAUCUCCUGGGUGUCCAGUUGUUGCUGGCGGCUGAGAUACCUCAAUGAACUCCAACCUCCUCCCGCCACUGAUGUCCGAUCUUCUGACAUUCAACUAUCAAAUAAGGAGCUGGUAGACAGAUAAGCUGACAGCAGGUCUCCACCACUGCCGUCGAUCACUGCUGUGUUCACCUUGCCCUCGGGAUGGUGCUGGGGAGACACAGAAGUCCCCCUAGUACUUCUUCAGGACGGCAUGUUUCUCAUUCCCUCAUCAUAAUGAAAAGAAGAUGGAUUUCUCAACCACUUCCUCCGGGAGGAGGAGUUGGAAAAGUACUGUGAAGUGGCUCGUGCAAGCUCCUGGAACGGCUGAAAGAAACUAUUUGCAUUGGGCCAGUGAUCUUCAGAAAGCAAGGCUGCAGCCUCCCUUGAAAAGGCUACCCGACCUCCACCCCCCCACCCCCACCCCUGACCCCCUGCCCUGGGAAAUCUCGACUUUUCCAAACUUAGCCUGACCUACUGGCAACACACUGCCUGCAGUGCUGGAGACGCUGGGCUGGAGUCAGUGUGGUCUUUGUCUGUUUAGUGGGUCCUGGGGCGCUGGGAGGGAGGCUGUAUGGAGCCUGUUAAUUUGGGGCGUGAAGCAAUAGAAAAGCUCUUAGAGGAAGUAACCAUCGCUCGAAUCCUCCUUCUUGCCCACAAACAGGCCGUAAAAGUGAAUUUGAGC